rnacentral:rRNA from 1 species
UUGUUGCUUCGGCGGGCCCGCCGUUUCGACGGCCGCCGGGGAGGCCUUGCGCCCCCGGGCCCGCGCCCGCCGAAGACCCCAACAUGAACGCUGUUCUGAAAGUAUGCAGUCUGAGUUGAUUAUCGUAAUCAGUUAAAACUUUCAACAACGGAUCUCUUGGUUCCGGCAUCGAUGAAGAACGCAGCGAAAUGCGAUAAGUAAUGUGAAUUGCAGAAUUCAGUGAAUCAUCGAGUCUUUGAACGCACAUUGCGCCCCUUUGGUAUUCCGGGGGGCAUGCCUGUCCGAGCGUCAUUGCUGCCCUCAAGCACGGCUUGUGUGUUGGGCCCCCGUCCCCCUCUCCCGGGGGACGGGCCCGAAAGGCAGCGGCGGCACCGCGUCCGGUCCUCGAGCGUAUGGGGCUUUGUCACCUGCUCUGUAGGCCCGGCCGGCGCCAGCCGACACCCAACUUUAUUUUUCUAAGGUUGACCUCGGAUCAGGUAGGGAUACCCGCUGAACUUAAGCAUAUCAAUAAG